GAGAGUUUGAUCCUGGCUCAGAUUGAACGCUGGCGGCAGGCCUAACACAUGCAAGUCGAGCGGUAGAGAGAAGCUUGCUUCUCUUGAGAGCGGCGGACGGGUGAGUAAUGCCUAGGAAUCUGCCUGGUAGUGGGGGAUAACGUUCGGAAACGGACGCUAAUACCGCAUACGUCCUACGGGAGAAAGCAGGGGACCUUCGGGCCUUGCGCUAUCAGAUGAGCCUAGGUCGGAUUAGCUAGUUGGUGGGGUAAUGGCUCACCAAGGCGACGAUCCGUAACUGGUCUGAGAGGAUGAUCAGUCACACUGGAACUGAGACACGGUCCAGACUCCUACGGGAGGCAGCAGUGGGGAAUAUUGGACAAUGGGCGAAAGCCUGAUCCAGCCAUGCCGCGUGUGUGAAGAAGGUCUUCGGAUUGUAAAGCACUUUAAGUUGGGAGGAAGGGCAGUAAAUUAAUACUUUACUGUUUUGACGUUACCGACAGAAUAAGCACCGGCUAACUCUGUGCCAGCAGCCGCGGUAAUACAGAGGGUGCAAGCGUUAAUCGGAAUUACUGGGCGUAAAGCGCGCGUAGGUGGUUAGUUAAGUUGGAUGUGAAAUCCCCGGGCUCAACCUGGGAACUGCAUUCAAAACUGACUGACUAGAGUAUGGUAGAGGGUGGUGGAAUUUCCUGUGUAGCGGUGAAAUGCGUAGAUAUAGGAAGGAACACCAGUGGCGAAGGCGACCACCUGGACUGAUACUGACACUGAGGUGCGAAAGCGUGGGGAGCAAACAGGAUUAGAUACCCUGGUAGUCCACGCCGUAAACGAUGUCAACUAGCCGUUGGGAGCCUUGAGCUCUUAGUGGCGCAGCUAACGCAUUAAGUUGACCGCCUGGGGAGUACGGCCGCNAGGUUAAAACUCAAUUGAAUUGACGGGGGCCCGCACAAGCGGUGGA
rnacentral:rRNA from 1 species